ensembl:snRNA U6 U6 spliceosomal RNA
UGGCUUCAGCAGCCCAGGUAAGAAAAUUAAUAUAAUGCAGAGACGAUUAGCAUGCUUUCUACUGGAGGAUGACAGGUCAGUUUGUGAAGCAUUCCAUAUUUUU